rnacentral:lncRNA from 1 species
CCGUUGACCAUAAUCACAAUAAGUUUAAAUGCAGCAAGUUUUACGUUUGACUACAUGAUCCAGUGUUCUUACAGGAAACAAACGUCUCUCCAGUUACAGACAUGGAAAUGGAAUGGAUGAAGAAGAUGGGUGAAAUAACUCACCAUACAAUCAAAACCAACGGAAUAUCGAUGCAUGUUGCAGAAAAAGGCGACGGACCUGUAGUAGUGCUCCUCCUCCAUGGCUUCCCGGAGUUCUGGUUUUCAUGGCGUCAUCAGAUCACUCACUUAAGUAACCAUGGUUACCGUGUCCUCGCACCUGACCUCCGCGGCUAUGGCGAUUCCGACUCUCCAUCCUCUCCCUCUUCCUACACCUUCUUCCACAUAGUCGGUGAUCUCAUCGGCGUUCUAGAUCACUUCAAUCAACAACAGGUACGUCAUUUGUGUGCUUUAAUGGCGAUGAAGCUUUAAUUAGCAUUAGGGUUGAUUUUGUGUACGCAUGAAUAUCAGGUGUUUGUGGUGGGACACGAUUGGGGGGCAACCGCCGCCUGGCAUCUGAGUCUUUUCCGGCCAGAUAGAGUCAGAGGAAUCGUUGCUCUCGCUAUUCCGUUGUUUCCUAGAUCCCCAAUCAGUCCAACUCAGUUAUUCACCAAAUCGUUUGGAGAUAAUUUAUACAUCUCUCAAUUCCAGGUUCUUCUUCUUCUCUUCUUCUUCUUUCUCUCACUGUGUUUACAUGGAGAUGAGUUUCAUAAAGUUCAGGAAAUUGAUACAGGAAUUAGGAAGAGCAGAGAGGGCUUUUGCGAAAUACGAUUGCUUGACUGUAAUCAAAAAGUUUUUGCUUAUCAACGUUGGCGAUGUACUGGUAGCACCUCCUGGAGUGGAGAUUAUCGAUCACCUGCAAAUUCCUUCUUCAUUACCUCCAUGGAUUACUGAAGAUGAGCUUCAAGUGUACGCUGAUAAGUUUCAGGAGACUGGAUUCACUGGAGCUUUAAAUUACUAUCGUGCCAUGGAUCUGUAAGACUGAAAACGUAGAUAUUGGAUUUGAUUUCUACUUUUUUGCAACAGUAAUCGUAUGAAUUGAUUUGAAGGACGUGGGAACUGGAAGCGCCAUGGCAAGGGGCAAAGAUCAAAGUUCCAUCGAAGCUGAUUAUUGGAGACGAAGAUAUUGGAUUUGAAAGCUGGACGAAGGAAUAUGUUGAGGGAGAUGUUAUGAAAGAACUGAUUCCUGAUGUUGAAGUUGUGAUUAUCGAAGGCCACCAUUUUAUUCAACAAGAGAAGCAUCAAGAGGUUUCUGAUCACAUCUUAUCGUUCCUACACAAACUUGCAUGAGUUUGGGUUCUAGGAUCUGUAUACUCUGAUAGUAUUAGUAUACAGAGAGUAUUACUCUCUCUACCACUAAAAAACAAUAUCAAAGCAUAAUAAAUAGUAAUAAAUAAGCUCAUGGACUCCACUUGUUAUUAUUUAUGUAUUAAUUAUGAAAUUGAAAAUUUCGUUAAUUCUUAUUAUUAUCCGGGCCUAAUGUCAUAUCGCGCAACUAACUAUUGGUUUAUUUUUUAGGGUAAAUUACACAGAUGGUCCCUGUGGUUUAGGGUAAUCUGCUAGAUUGGUCCCUAACAACUUUUUUUUAACUCGGACCAUCCCUAAUUUAUUUUUUCGUUACACGCUUGGUCCCCUAACCAUUAUAAAAAGUCUAAUUUACCCUUACUGAUUUCUUUUACCUAUUUUAAAUUAUCAAUUAAUUAAAUGUGGAAAAAGUGUUAAUUAAAAAAAUAUGUUGGUCUGAUUCAAGAACCUACACAACCGAAGCCUCAUCCCCUCCCUUCCUUCCUUGAUUUCAGUCGUCGGAAAAUAUCACUCCUCUCGUCGGAAAAUCUCACAGAUUAACGAUGUCUUCUCCAGAUUAAGGGUAAAAUAGUCUUUUUAUAACGGACAGGGACCAAGCGUGCAACAAAAAUAUAAAUUAGGGACGGUCCGAAUUAAAAAAAGUUGUUAGGGACCAAGCUAGCAGAUUACCCUAAACCACAUGGACCAUCCGUGUAAUUUACCCUAUUUUUUAAAACGUUCUUAAAAUUUUCUUGUUAUUUUCAUUUUAUUUCAAGUUCUAAAAAGCUCGUCAUGGCUCCAAAGCUUGUGCUUGCCACCAAACUUUACUAAAAUGCCGCCUUAACUCAUAUAUGUGUAUAAAAAUGAAUAAUAGUUGAAAAUACAUAUAAAAAUAUUACUUAUGUACAAAAUUGCCGCCUUAAGUCACGCCAUACAAACGACUUAGCUCACCAAGGUUUGUAAAAGUUUCGGGUUUGACAUUGCCGACAAGUUACACCUUAUGUUAUUUGGAACCUUGUUUUAUUUGCAUUCUAAGGGAAUGAAGUCCGGUUUUAUGUUUUAAAAAGUCAUUUUGGUAAAAUUCAAGGUUUCAUUAGAUGAAACCCGAUAUAUGCCACCUCAUUUAAUGGAGUUUGCUAUGUCAUACCUCCAUGUGCCACUAAGACAAUCUCCAACGCAUCUUCAUUUUCCCCCCAUAAAUGGAGUAAAAAAUGGAGUAAAUAGUAUUUCAUUUCCAAUCCUACUCCAUAUUCUACCCCAUUUUUUACCCCAAAAAAUAUAUUCUUAGAAUAUUCCAUUUUUAUAACUUAUAUAUAUUAUCAAAUACAUCCAUCUACUAAUUAAACUCUAUAUUUAUGAUUAAUUAAUAUAAAUUAGUAUAUAUAACAUGAUAUUAUAAAUAUUAAGUAUUGCAUUUAAAUUAUACUUAGUAGAUAAAAUAAACUAGAAAUGUAUAAAAUAAAAAUAAGAUAGACUAAAAUUGGCAACCAAACUUCACCUUUAUUUUUGGAGAUAUGAAUAGUAUUCCUCCAUAUAUGGGGGAAUACUAUUCAUAUCUUCAAAAAUGGAGGUUAAAAUGGGGUAGGGUUGGAGAAGAAAUGAGGGAAGAAAUGGAGAUUGGGGGUGGGUGGGAGAUGCCCUAAGGAUUUAUAUAAUUAAAACUUAUUUAAAAAGCUUCUGAUGAAUAAGUAUCAUUUCUUGUCUUUCUCCUUACUACAAAUCCAUUUUGCUCUACCUUCGUCUAGUUUUGUCUAUAAUGGUUGUGUAUAUGAUGGCUGAUGGUAACUUUCAAGGUAUUUUUUUUUCAAGAUAUCCAUCUUUAAUGUACACUAAUGACAUACAUCAUUUGUUUGAAUAUAUCGAGUUAACGAGGAUGGACAAGAAAUAAUUUUAUGCUUUUUUGUAAAGAUAUACUGCUAGGAGAUGUCUGAAGGUGUAUUAUUUGUUCACCCGAAGAUAAUUUUUCAAAAGGUUAGAACUUUAAAGGAACAGAUUUUGACUACGAUGAGUUAAUUGAUGUUGGUUACAAUUGUGGGUGUGUACUGGAAAUGUAGAUAGACCAUCUUGGGGAUAAUAUGAAGGAGUGGCUACAUUAAGAUCUUCACGAGGACCAUCACUUAAAUGUUAGAGAUGUGAAAGAAGAUCCUUGUCAAAAUUCGGAUUUUCCAGAAGAUGAUGUUAAAGAUCUGGAUUGUGAGGUUGGCCUUAAUGAUGUGACUCCUAUGAACAAGACUAUGAAUGAUCCUUUCCUCAGUAAACUUUACAGUAAGGAGCAUGAGCGGCUCAACUAGUUUGGAAGCUUUAAGCGAACAAAAAAUUAGGGCCCAUUGUCAUUACUAUAAUUAAUGUUAUAAAUUAAAUCCUCCUCCUUUCCAAAAUCCAACUUGACACAAUGAAUAUUAAAAAAAAAAUUAAGUCAUAUUAACCCUAAUAAAUAGUCUAAUCAAGAAAAAAGAGUCAGUCACUACUAUUCUACAAUCUACAUCAAAGUAUAAAAAAAUAGAUUUCUUCCUUCUUUUGUGCAUAAAAUACUACAUCAAACAAAUUUCUAUUUUCUACAUCAAAUAAAACUUUAUCAAAAUAACAAAAUUUAUCGAUUAUCAUAGAUACUAGAUUAUCAGAUUAUCACAAAUUCACAAUCAUAGAUAAUCAGCAAUGUAUAAUGGACUGAUGGAGUUAUCGGUUAUGGUGAACAGAGAAUCAGAGGAAGAACCGAAGAAGAAUAAUAGAACAUAUCUUUUCAAAAUUCAACCUUUCAAGUUUCAGGACAUGAAUCACCAAAUUAGUUGAGUUAAUCUUGACACUUGACGUCCUUUUCAAAAAGAAGAAUCAAUCAAUUUAUUACAAAUCGCUAGGAAGAAGAUUAGAAGAAGAAUAGAGAAUCAGAGAAGUAAUGGUUUCUACGGUUCUGAGUAGAAUCAAGAAUGAAAUCACUAAUUGUUAGUUAGAUUCAGAGGACAGAGAAAGUAGAAGUGAAGAACAGUUAUCGAGUCGUAGUUUCUGCUGAUGUGCUUGAAUGAAGAAUCCGAAAAAACAAUCAACUAAUUUAAUUUUCCGUUAAGGGGGGCCUAUAACAAUAAGGCCGACCCUAGUAAGGAGAAUCCAACCCUAAAAAAGUACCUAAGGAUGACCGCUACCAAUGAUCCAUAAAUUGAUAUGCAAACAAGCUUCAAUGAAGAUGUUUACUGGAAGAAGUAGAAGCAUGUACUAGGUAUGAGGCUUGAAAGUCCCAAACAGUUAAAACAUAUGGUUUUCAAUUCUGCAGGUGCUAAUGGGUAUCGAUUAUAUUAUAAAAAAAAAUAAUAGUAGGAGAUUAAAAAAAAUAAUAAUAGGAGAUUACUGGUCAAAUGUUGUUUCGGAAAGUGCACUUUUAUGCUUUGGGGUUCAUGGAUGAGUGAAGAAAAUUCAUUCCAAAUCAAAUCUCUUAUUAAUGAUCAUAAUUAUGCUAUAAAUUUUAAGUUAGAAUUAAUUGUUAACUAUGAUUGGAUUUGUAGCCAUUACACACUUGAAUUCCUACACAAACUGAAAAUGAGUAUUAGGCAACCUAUGGAAUAGGUGAAAAAGAAAUUUGGAAUAAAUGUCAGUAUAACAUAGUGUAAGUAUGACAUAGUGUAGGAGGGACAAAACAAUUUAUCUGAAAUAUUAUGUAUCAUGACAAUUAACCUUAUAUUUUUUAUUUUANNNNNNNNNNNNNNNNNNNNNNNNNNNNNNNNNNNNNUAUAUAUAUAUAUUAAGUAACAUAUCAAAUCGAAAUAAUAAUUUUCAUAAAUCACAUCAAUUGACAAAUAAUUUAGUUUCAUCUACAACCAUAAAUAACUUGGUUUUUUCUAUGGAUAAUGACUUAAAUGAGUAAAAUACUUUGUUUUGAUGUUCAUAUUUAGCCAAUAAUAUUUUUUGUACACAUUUUACCAUUGAAGUUGUUUCAAAUGCACCUAAAAAGAUAAUACUAUCUAUUGUUAUAAGUAAUAUUAUAUUUUCUUAAAUAUGUGGAAUAAUUUCAAUGGUCAAAUGUAUAUAAAAAAUGAUCACACAUAUCCCCACAUCCACACUCAUCCCUAGCUAUCACUAUCUUGGCCCCUUGUUGUAUAUCGAAUCCCUUCUUAUGCCAAGUACUUAAUACAAAGAUCUUUAUUAAUAUUGACUUUUAAACUCAUAAUCGUUUCUACCGAGUGUAGUUAAUUGAGUCAAAUAGAAAUAAUUUAUAGGACUAUGCCUAUAUAAAGGGAUUGACUUGAAGGUGAUCUCAUUAUCGUAAAAGGAAACAUGACCACAAACAUUCUUGGAUGGUGGUUCGUGCCAAUGAUCAUGGGUGUGGUCAUGGUGCUGCUAGAGGGUCGACGAUGAAACUUUAUAUGAAACUGUGUCAUUUGGUUUCGAUUGAAACUUGAAAGUACACUGAUAAAAGUGAAAGAAUCGCAACAAUGGUGGUAAGUUUUUUUCUAACUGCAUGUGAGUUCUUGAGUAGAAAUUACAUGAAAAACCGUGCGUUUGACUGUUUCUUAUUUCUAAAAUAACCAAAAUAAUAAUAAUAAUAAUAAAUGGAAAAAAAAAAAGAAAUGAGUAAACCGUCUUCCAAAUCUAUAAUAAAAGUAAACCAAAAGGACCGUAUCGAUAAUUUUUAAAACCGAUUGGACUGUACCAAGCAUAUUAGCAAACUACAUGGACCAAAUUUACAAUCUUCUCUAAUAUAAAAGAAGUAUAAAAGAAGUAAAAUCACAUACGUGUUUGAAAAUGGGGCCGUUGACCAGAAUCACAAUAAGUUUGAAUGCAGCAAGUUUUAAUUUUGACUUUCAUGAUCCAGUGUUCUAACAGGAAACAAACGUCUCUCCAGUUACAGACAUGGAAAUGGAAUGGAUGAAGAAGAUGGGUGAAAUAACUCACCAUACAAUCAAAACCAACGGAAUAUCGAUGCAUGUUGCAGAAAAAGGCAACGGACCUGUAGUGCUCCUCCUCCAUGGCUUCCCGGAGCUCUGGUUUUCAUGGCACCAUCAGAUCACUUACUUAACUAACCACGGUUACCGUGUCCUCGCACCUGACCUCCGCGGCUAUGGCGAUUCCGACUCCCCAUCGUCUCCCUCUUCCUACACCUUCUUCCACAUAGUCGGUGAUCUCAUUGGCGUUCUAGAUCACUUCAAUCAACAACAGGUAUGUCAUUUGUGUGCUUUAAUGGCGAUGAAGCUUUAAUUAGCAUUAGGGUUGAUUUUGUGUACGCAUGAAUAUCAGGUGUUUGUGGUGGGACACGAUUGGGGCGCACACGCCGC